UUAAUGUGAGGUUUUUGAUCAUUCACGUUUCAACUCGCCGACGAUAGAACUCUGAGAGAUGGCAACAGAUCAUCCUUGUUCUUUGUCACAGAAAGAGGGGUGUUCUUUUCUUGUGUUAUAGAUCCACCUGCUGGUUCAUUUUUAAAUCGACUGACUGCUAACCUUUGCCUAGGUUUUUACAUGGACAUAUAAUUUGGCAGGUGGCCUGUGUCGUCGUGUAGCGACAGCCUGUAUUGGUUCGCCCACAAGUUCAAUGGAGGAUUGCAAUAUUACAAAAAUGUACUUUGCUUAUUUCGCCAUCGGAGCAGGUAAUAUUGAAACAAGCUAGAACAUCAUAAGCUACGCUCAGGCUAAAUUAUGUUUAAAGCCCCAGGCCUAUUUGAUUAAUUAAAUCUACCAACGAAGCCUAACAUACAAUAACCACUGACAUUUGGUACUAUUCAUUAUAUUAUGUAGAUCUCAAAUGUCAGUGUAGCCUACCUACCAUCAGUGUAUACCAUUAUCAUCACAGUACUGACAUCGCUACUGUAAAUGAUGAUAAUACAUGCCAUUGCGUUGUUUUACCACAAGGGGGUGUUGAAAGCCUAUUUAGGGUCUCCUUACCAAUGGUUAAACGACUUUCUCGAUACGGAAUUCAUGUUCUUUCUCAUCUCACAGCUCUUUCUACAAACAUUCAGCUUGAAGCAACCACGAUUCCUGAAAGAUAAAUGUUCCAUACAUGGUUCAAUUUACUUUACCAUAACCUAUCUUCACUUACAUAUUCUAAACCACUGUUCCCUCACAAAAGAAGAUAUGGUCGCCUUCCUGGCUGUGAAGAAGACUUUAUAACAUAUUGCAAAAUACAUCCAUGCACUUUAGGACAUUUUGCUUGUUUGUACAUAGAGUGGUUAUAAAAACACAAACGACAUUUCAAUGUGCUAUUACAGUAGCAAUGUAGCAGACUUUAAUCUAUAUCAAUUUGGGGUUAAAUCAGGUAGGAAUGUGGCUGUAGAUGGUGUGUUAGGGUAUUAAUGUUAAUAGCUUUGCAAAUGUUGUAACUAAAACAAUGAAAAUGGUUCAGUUUUGUACAUUCAGACUACUGUUACACUAGGAUGCCAAGUAUAAAUAGUUGUGGGUAACUAGCUGUAAAAUAAACUAUUAUAAAAUAAA